rnacentral:misc_RNA from 1 species
GGCAAUUCAAGAACGCUAAGUUGGUCAAAUUAAUGAACUCAAAAUCGUAUUCUUGGACUUGUGCUUUCGUUCUUCCCACUAUAAAUACCAUCCACAUACCAUUUGAUUUUUAUCAACCUGCAAGCUUUAGUCAAGUGAUCAAAAUCUUUAUCAUCAUCUAUUGUCUUAGAAACAAGCAAAGUCAUGUCUAACACCGCUGGACAAGUCAUUCGAUGCAAAGCUGCUGUGGCAUGGGA